ensembl:lncRNA
AUGUUUUUCAUUCUUCUCUACCUCGCAGCAAGCUAUUCACUGCAUUUUUUGAGGGGGAAAUAAAAAAAAGAAGUUAUAUACUACAUAGCGUCUUUUUUUUUUUUUUUUUUUUUUUUGAAAUUGAAGAGGAAAAGGCAUGUGGAGAGAGGGGAAAAGGAAGAUUUCACUCACUGCAAAUUUCUUGGACUGCUCUGAGCUCACCUGGAAAACAAAGAGACUGAAUUCUUCCUCUCGGGUGAGAAAAAUUUCAAAUGGGUGAGACAAGAAGCAGAGAACUUGUACACAGGAAUUGGUAGUGAAUGCAACUUCAACUUCCUGCAAGCAACAUUCGGGUAGUCUGACACCCUGAAUGUGAAGUCUGACACCUAAAUAUGAAGAAAUCAAAGAGCUGUCACAUGAUAUAACAAAGUGAUCAGUGGCUCAGAUUUGUUCUACAAUAGCAGCAGAGGGACAGCCUGACAGAAUGACAUCUGACAUGGAAAUGUGCAUGAAGCAAAAGUGUGGGAUUGAACUCCUUCAUGUGGAAAGAACAGCACCCACUGACAUUCACUGAAGCUUGGUGAACAUUUAUGGAGCCCAAGCAGUGUGUGUGAGCACAGUGAGGUUGUGCUGGUGCACUUUAGCAGUG